GCUGGCGGCGUGCCUAACACAUGCAAGUCGAACGGUAACAGGGACUUCGGUCCGCUGACGAGUGGCGCACGGGUGAGUAACGCGUGGAGUUACCUACCCAUCAGUGAGGAACAACCUGGAGAAAUCCAGGCUAAUACCGCAUACGACCUUCGGGUGAAAGAGGGGGAUCUUCGGACCUCUCGCUGAUGGAUGGUUCCGCGUCCGAUUAGUUAGUUGGUAAGGUAAUGGCUUACCAAGACGAUGAUCGGUAGCUGGUUUGAGAGGAUGAUCAGCCACACUGGAACUGAGACACGGUCCAGACUCCUACGGGAGGCAGCAGUGGGGAAUUUUGCACAAUGGGCGCAAGCCUGAUGCAGCGACGCCGCGUGCGGGAAGAAGGCCUUCGGGUUGUAAACCGCUUUCAACAGGGAAGAAGGAAUGAGGGUCAAUACCCCUCUGCCUUGACGGUACCUGUAGAAGAAGCCCCGGCUAAUUUCGUGCCAGCAGCCGCGGUAAUACGAAAGGGGCAAGCGUUGUUCGGAUUUACUGGGCGUAAAGAGAUCGUAGGUGGCUUGUUAAGUCGGAUGUGAAAUCCCGGGGCUCAACCCCGGAACUGCAUUCGAUACUGGCAGGCUUGAGUUCGGGAGGGGGAAGCGGAAUUCCGUGUGUAGCAGUGAAAUGCGUAGAUAUACGGAGGAACACCUGAGGCGAAGGCGGCUUCCUGGACCGAUACUGACACUGAGGAUCGAAAGCGUGGGUAGCAAACAGGAUUAGAUACCCUGGUAGUCCACGCCCUAAACGAUGUCUACUAGCCGUUGCGGGUAUCGACCCCUGCAGUGGCGCAGCUAACGCAAUAAGUAGACCGCCUGGGGAGUACGGCC
rnacentral:rRNA from 1 species